AUAGCUGAUGCCUUUCUUUGAGUUCCCAUCCCUGGAGAAUGAAAUUAAUUCUAACUCCUAACUUUUAGAAGAAUCUUUUCAAAAGGCUAAGUGGAGAUUUGAAGAUGUCACUCCUAUAACUGGUGUGCUGGGGAUUGACUCUGCCUGGAAACCUGAAAGUUGGACCUCCUCUGUGGGUACUUCCUUUACAACUGGCUCCAAUCAACCUUUCCUUCCAAGUACUCUGCCUUCUUUUCUCAGGUGAGUUAGUCAUAUGUGUAUCUGCAGCUAAAUAAUACAGUUACAAAGGGAGUGUUUUGUUAUUCUCUAUGGUUUGCAAC
rnacentral:lncRNA from 1 species